GGGUGGAUUAGUGGCGAACGGGUGAGUAACACGUGAGUAACCUGCCCUUAACUCUGGGAUAAGCCUGGGAAACUGGGUCUAAUACCGGAUAGGAGCGUCCACCGCAUGGUGGGUGUUGGAAAGAUUUAUCGGUUUUGGAUGGACUCGCGGCCUAUCAGCUUGUUGGUGAGGUAAUGGCUCACCAAGGCGACGACGGGUAGCCGGCCUGAGAGGGUGACCGGCCACACUGGGACUGAGACACGGCCCAGACUCCUACGGGAGGCAGCAGUGGGGAAUAUUGCACAAUGGGCGCAAGCCUGAUGCAGCGACGCCGCGUGAGGGAUGACGGCCUUCGGGUUGUAAACCUCUUUCAGUAGGGAAGAAGCGAAAGUGACGGUACCUGCAGAAGAAGCACCGGCUAACUACGUGCCAGCAGCCGCGGUAAUACGUAGGGUGCGAGCGUUAUCCGGAAUUAUUGGGCGUAAAGAGCUCGUAGGCGGUUUGUCGCGUCUGUCGUGAAAGUCCGGGGCUUAACCCCGGAUCUGCGGUGGGUACGGGCAGACUAGAGUGCAGUAGGGGAGACUGGAAUUCCUGGUGUAGCGGUGGAAUGCGCAGAUAUCAGGAGGAACACCGAUGGCGAAGGCAGGUCUCUGGGCUGUAACU
rnacentral:rRNA from 1 species